GGCCCCGAGGUGUUUAACAUAUGAGAUUGCAAAUCCCAAGAGGUCGAAUAGCUUCGACCGGGGCUU
rnacentral:tRNA from 1 species